rnacentral:rRNA from 1 species
GACGAACGCUGGCGGCGUGCUUAACACAUGCAAGUCGAACGGAAAGGCCCUGCUUUUGUGGGGUGCUCGAGUGGCGAACGGGUGAGUAACACGUGAGUAACCUGCCCUUGACUUUGGGAUAACUUCAGGAAACUGGGGCUAAUACCGGAUAGGAGCUCCUGCUGCAUGGUGGGGGUUGGAAAGUUUCGGCGGUUGGGGAUGGACUCGCGGCUUAUCAGCUUGUUGGUGGGGUAGUGGCUUACCAAGGCUUUGACGGGUAGCCGGCCUGAGAGGGUGACCGGCCACAUGGGGACUGAGAUACGGCCCAGACUCCUAGGGGGGGCAGCAGGGGGGAAUAUUGCACAAGGGGCGGAAGCCUGAGGCAGCAACGCCGGGGGCGGGAUGAGGGCCUUCGGGUUGUAAACCGCUUUCCCCUGGGACGAAGGGGGGGUGAGGGAAAUGGGGAAAGAAGCACCGGCUAACUACGU